rnacentral:lncRNA from 1 species
UUUUUUUUUUUUUAAUUGUACCUUUCUUGUACUUCUUGUUUUCUCCAAGUCUCGUCUCCGAAGCCCCAACUUCUGCUUUUCUCAGGCAAUAAUGGAAGAUAGUUUUGUCUCUGGUCAGGUUUUGAGCUGCAACUCCCUAGUACAAACACUGAUUACCUUAGCACAGGUCUGGCAACAAUAACCAGUCCUAACAAAUAAUCGAGAUUAAAAGGUGUAAGAAAAUCAGUCUAGAAAUCAUUCACCGUUUCCUGGAUAUUUUCACAGCUCCCUCUUUCAAAAAAUUUAUUCUGAGUUUCUCUGUGUUAGCUUGUUCCCUGCUAACAAGCGAACAACGUUUUUUCCCAUCCUUCUUGUGAACAGUACUUUUGCUGUUAUUUUGAGUCGUAGUUCCAUGUUUGGCAAAGCAACUCUAAUUUUGUGCAUAGAUACAUAAACUCACUGUGUUAAACCCCUUGUCCCCUCACGAUGGGUGUACAGUAGCUGUUCCUUGCUGCACACAUCUUAUGUGGAGCCUCCAUCUCCAAUUCCCACUCUGUGUCAAUUCUCCUUGACUGACUGUACAAAUGAAUAUAGUAAUGCUGGAAGCUUAAGGGAAAAUGCACGGAGGAGCACAGGUUAGCAUUCAUUGAACCUCCAGAAAAACUGUUAACUUAAUUAGCAUGUUUUUAGUGAUGGAAACACUGAAAGAAGAAACUUUUAGUAGAAGUAUUGUUACCACAAUACCUUAAAAAAAUCUCAUAAGGGAACAAGAUCCUGCUGUGCUAGAUUCUUUAGCUUGGACUCUAACUUAGCUAAAUAAGUUAAUUUGAAUGGCAGUAUCCUGAACUGGCUUUCCUUUAAGUGGCCAGAUUUGUUGAAAGGCAGCCAUUAAUGCUAAUUCAAGUCAGGAAUAAACAAGGUUUUUCACCAUCCUCAGUGGAUAAAAUGAAAAAUGCUCGUCUUGUUCAGAGCAGGACACGUAAGUGUGUCACACUGAGCACUGUGUAAGCCUCACACACUGGUUCUGGUCCCUCUUUCAGUCCUUCAUCUGAGAAUCAUGCUUCUCAGCUGAUUGCAGGGUGCCUCUGCAGCUGCGUGCCCGAGUCUGCCAAGAGGUCAUAUGGUCUGUCACAAAGCAAAAGUGACCCUGAGCAACCUGACCCAACUACUAAAUUUGUCCUGCUUCGAGUAGUGAGGCAGACCAGAUGAUGUAUUAAAGAUCCUUCCAACCUAAAUUAUUGUAUGAUCAUAUGAAAAAGAAGGACCCUGUCCAGUCCCGCUGACAAUCAAAGAAUAGUUAAGAAAGAAUACAUGGAUGCAGACAGGCAGAAUAGACAAGGAAACAAUGAGAAAAUGUAGCAGUCAGCACCAUCAGUGGGGGUUUUAGGUCAUCAACCACCUACUUGAUACCAAUUUUAUUCCCUAAUUGAGGACAAGAAUAAUAACGAGACAACUUGGCGCACUUCUAAGCGAGUUUUUGCUCCAGGAAGGUCAGCUUGACGAAAGUGCCUUCAACACAACUUCUCGCAUGAAAAUUUUACAAAUAAUAGGCAGAGUCUAGCACUGUUGAUUUGAUGUGGAAGCUGGACCUUCACUGAGAGAGAGUGGGAGAUAAUCAUCCCCAAAAUGAGGAAGGACAUUUUAUGUCGGGCCCUAAAGAAGGGUAGAGUUGUUAGGUGCACAGGAGGAGCUAGAUGAGAAGGUUGAAGUGAUAAUGGGCUAGACAAAUGACUUCUGCAAAAGCAUUCUGCAGGAGUCCAACCAGAUCAAAAUGGUGUCAGUUGCUGUCAGGGAACAGAAUGUUACAAGUUAAAAAAUGUUUAGCUGUGUGGACAGACAGGAAAACCUUUGCUUUGGUGCUGUUGUACAAGAAAAAGUCUGCAAGGGAGCUAGCUAUGUGGAAGAGAGAAUCCAGAGGGAUAUAUAAGACUGAAGCAUCAACCAAGUGGUAUGCCUUGCAGACAGAUGGAUAUUGAAGAGAGAGAGAUGGGUGCCAAGAGAUUCUGGAGGAAGAUAAAACCAUCUUUUCCGUUAGCUGCCUGUGGAUGAUAAAAGAAGAUUUUAAUUUGCAUCAGGAUUAAUGGCUGUAGUAGAAAUAAAGCAGUGAGUCAUGGGAUAAAUAUAUAUUUACUGACACAAUUACAAAGAGAGGGAGGCUUUGAUUCAAUGUGCUAAUGGUCAAGUCCUUGGAGAACUAGAAGAUGGCAGUCAUGCUAGCGAAGAGAGCAGACUUCAAGGAGUCCGUUGCAGAUACAGGCUAAUGAAGAUGAUGGGAAUCUUACUUCUGAGCUUCCCCUGGGAAAGGAACUUUGAAAGAAAUCUUGACAAAACAGAGUCACAACAGGCUCUCACAACUUUGAAGCACAUCAGUAUUUGUCUUGAGAAUUGCAAAUCUGGGUUUCCACGGUACGAAGUACAGUAUGGGUGUUCAUCUGGGUAAAUGAGUUUUUAACUUGAGAAGUCAGAAGCAAAUUAUAAUGCCAUUUUAUGACAGUGACAAACCCCCCCCCCAACAACCCAAACCCAAAUUACCUUUGCUCCCUCACAGCAGCAAAUCACUUCCCUGUGACCUUCUCAUUCAUCUGUUUCAAGUAAACAGUAUUUGGGGAUAUACUAUUUGCUAAAAAUAUUUAAUAAUAAGGUGUUGGAAUAUAACAAAUGUCUUAAAAAAAAAAUAUUUAUAGCUCUCAGGAGGUUGCAGAAAUUAAGUGAAACCUAAUUAAAGUAAUACCAUGCAUUAUAUGGUUUUCCAGGUAAAGACCAACCAAAACCUCUUGAUAUCUGCAGGAGAAUUCUUCCAGACUAUAAAUCUGCACACGUAUGAAUCUUGAGUAAUUGCUAACAUCGAUGAGAUUACUAUAAUUAAGAUUUGGCUUUAUCCCGUGAUGAAUAUGAAUGUGUUAUGUGUUGAAAGUCAUCACCCUCAAAGUGGUGUAUUUUUCAUUAAUGGUAAAAACCGGGUCUAUGUGCAGCUUAAUGGUGCCUAAGGGCCGGUAUUUCUUUCAUAUUUAAAUCCUGCAGCUGCAGGAAGAGAAAUAAAACAACUAGAGAAAA